UACGUAGGGUGCAAGCGUUAAUCGGAAUUACUGGGCGUAAAGCGUGCGCAGGCGGUUUUGUAAGUCUGUCGUGAAAUCCCCGGGCUUAACCUGGGAAUGGCGAUGGAGACUGCAAGGCUAGAAUCUGGCAGAGGGGGGGUGGAAUUCCACGUGUAGCAGUGAAAUGCGUAGAGAUGUGGAGGAACACCGAUGGCGAAGGCAGCCCCCUGGGCUAACACUGACGCUCAGGCACGAAAGCGUGGGGAGCAAACAGG
rnacentral:rRNA from 1 species